rnacentral:rRNA from 1 species
AAUAGAUACCCCGGUAGUCCACGCCGUAAACGUUGGGUACUAGAUGUGGCGUCCCGAUCAACGGAUGCCGUGCCGAAGCUAACGCAUUAAGUACCCCGCCUGGGGAGUACGGCCGCAAGGCUAAAACUCAAAGGAAUUGACGGGUCCCCGCACAAGCGGCGGAGCAUGCGGCUUAAUUCGAUGCAACCCGAAGAACCUUACCUGGACUUGACAUCAUGGGAAAAGCCGUAGAAAUACGGUGUCCGUAAGGGUCCAUGACAGGUGGUGCAUGGCUGUCGUCAGCUCGUGCCGUGAGAUGUUGGGUUAAGUCCCGCAACGAGCGCAACCCCUAUCUUUAGUUGCUAACGGGUGAUGCCGAGCACUCUAAAGAGACUGCCUCGGAAAUCGAGGAGGAAGUGGGGAUGACGUCAAGUCCUCAUGGCCUUUAUGUCCAGGGCUACACACGUGCUACAAUGGGCGGCACAAAGGGCUGCAAAGCCGCGAGGCAGAGCUAAUCCCAAAAACGUCCCAGUACGGAUUGCAGUCUGCAACUCGA